AUCCCUCCAGCUUCCGGCGGGCGGGGUGCGCGCGCCGCCUAACGACCUUCUGGGCCGACGGUCGGCAGGCGGCGGCGGCGUGUGAAUGGAGGCUUCGGCCCCGGGCCGGGCGCGGCGGGGCUGGCGGCGGGCCCGGGCCGCGGGCUCCCCGCUCUCCCGGGCCGCGGUGGUCCUGGUGGUCUCCGCGCUGGUGCUCUGGGCGCCCCCGUCAGUUGGAUAUUUGGAUCGAUUACCAAGAAGUGCUCAGUUACCCCAAGAUGCCGUGAAAAUAGUGGGAUCACCAAAUAUUCCAGUGAAAGUAUAUGUUAUGCUCCAUCAAAAGAGUCCACAUGUGUUAUGUGUAACCCAGAGGCUGCGGAAUUCUGAACUGAUAGACCCAUCAUUCCAGUGGCAUGGGCCUAAAGGAAAAAUCAUUUCAGAAAACAGCACUGCACAAAUCACCUCCACAGGAAGCCUUGUAUUCCAGAACUUUGAGGAAAGCAUGAGUGGUGUUUACACAUGUUUUCUGGAGUAUAAACCUACUGUGGAAGAAGUCAUCAAAAAUCUCCAACUGAAAUAUGUUGUAUAUGCUUAUCGUGAGCCGCAUUAUUAUUACCAGUUCACAGCUCGAUAUCAUGCAGCUCCCUGCAACAGUAUCUAUAAUAUUUCUUUUGAGAAGAAACUUCUUCAGAUUUUAAGCAAACUUGUUCUUGACCUUUCAUGUGAAGUUUCCUUACUUAAGUCUGAAUGUCAUCGUGUUAAAAUGCAAAGAGCUGGUUUGCAAAAUGAAUUGUUUUUUACAUUUUCAGUUUCAUCUCUAGACACUGAAAAAGGACCCAAGCCAUGUGCAGACCAUAGUUGUGAAUCUUCCAAAAGACUAUCUAAGGCCAAAAAUCUUAUAGAGCGGUUUUUUAAUCAACAAGUGGAAGUUUUGGGCAGACGUGCAGAGCCAUUGCCUGAGAUAUACUAUAUUGAAGGUACCCUCCAAAUGGUUUGGAUUAAUCGCUGCUUCCCAGGGUAUGGAAUGAAUAUCCUGAAACACCCACAAUGUCCUGAGUGCUGUGUUUUAGGCCAUUACAAAUAAUGCUGCUAUGAAUAUUCCUGUACAAGUCUGUGUGGACAAUACCUAUGACUGCGAUUGCUGGGUCAUACGUGAUCUGCAGUCCUGGGUCUUAUAACUCCCGUGAUGGAAUUCACUGCCUUCAGUGCAAUAGCAGCCUGGUGUUUGGAGCAAAAGCAUGUUUAUAGGUCCAUUUUGAGCUCGUCGAUGGUUUGUCAAACACAAAAGUAUAUUUUUGAAGUAUUGAUAUAUAAUAAAUCACUAUUAUGCCAAAAUUAAAUGUAUUAGAUUUUACCAAAAAAAAGAUGUCAUUUUAAUUGAAAUGCUGUAUAUCCAAAUUCUUUAUACACAGAACAGCCAAUAAUCUUUAUUCAUUAAUGCCAGACCUACAUAUGACUCCAAAAUAUUUCUUGGGUCACUGUAUUUAAGAUAAUUUCAAAUAUACUAUAUUAGGUUAACCCAAAAGGUUUUUAUGAUUUUUCAAAAAUUGCCCAUUUUGUCAUUAUUAUAUGUUAACUAAUCUGAGGCCACCAUAUUCUUCUACAGUAAUUGUAAUUUCAGCUUGUUUCAGUUCUUUUCUUUAAUUUUAUGUGAUUUUAUUCCUUGCAGUUUGAACUUUCAUAGCUCAAAGUCACUUUUUUAAAACUCCAAGUCUUAUUAUUGCAAUUUUUAGCUACUUUAGUUAAGACCUAGACCCAUACACACACAUACCCCCAAACACAUUAUGGGUUUUUAAUACAGUUCACUGUGCUGAUCUUAAACUUUUCAGUUUAAAGUCCCUCAAAUUAUCUUUUUGACAUCUUAGAAUAAAGCAGUCAUUGUAGGUGCCUAAAUUAACAUUUGAAGGACUUCUCUGGUGGUCCAGUGGUUAAGAAUCUGCCUUGCAAUGCAGGGGACACAGGUUUAAUCCCUGCUCGGGGAACUAGGAUGCCACAUACCAAAGAGCAGCUGGCCCACACACAGCUAGACAGUCUCUGCUGCAUGCCGCAACUAAGACCCAGUGCAGCCCAAUAAAGAAAUGCAUGUCUUUAAAAAAUGAAUAAAUAAUUCAACAUUUGAGCUUUUGUGGAGACAAAGAAGAGCUAAGCAGCCCCUUCCCCGACAGCCUCUCUAAGGAUGAGAGUCCAGCAGCUCUUCCACUCCUUCCCUGUUAAAGUGUCUGUGACAGGCACUGCUACAGCCACCUCACGCUGUCUCAGCCUGGGGUGCUGUGUUCCAAUAUGAAAAAUUGCCACAGAUUUAGACGUUAAUUACAGGGAAAAUACAUGAGUAAAUCACAGAAUCAGUAGCUUCUCAGUUUAUACUUACUGCUUUAUUAUAUUUGUAUCAGCUUUAUUAUACUCUUUGGAAUGUUUCCUGUGUUUCUCUUCAUCUUACCUUUCUUGAAACAUGAACACAUGUGAAUGGCAAAUGCACACAGGUUGGAUCUGGAUGCAAGUGUGCAGGACACUGGACAGUUUACAGAGAGGCAUUUACUGACCCUGAGGCCCUGUGUGGCAUUUUGAAAGGUCCAGUUACUAUAUUAGCUUCUCAUUUGUUCUCCCUGUGGGUAAGUGUUACCCUGGAAUUCUCACAGAAAUACAGAGGCAAGGGAAAUGGCAUUUCUUUGUGAGCCCUAGUGAUGUUUCUCUAACAGGCCCUUUGGACUGUAAUCGUGUAGUAAUUGUUUUCCUCUAUUUUUUAGAGGUUUUUCAGGAACCUUAUUUCUACCCUUCAGUAACAUGUUUCUGCUGUUUUACUGUUUGGGUAGCUUAUUGUUCUUCUAGUACAUGCUUUCUGUAACUCGUAAAAGACCUAUUAAGUCUCCAUCUGUGAAAGCAGUGCAGCCUCCUUGAGUUUCCAAAUUUCUACAUUGUAUAGUAUGUUGAAUUGGGAUACGUAUUCUUUCCUUUGUACUCCCUGAGUUGGGAUUAGUUUCUUCUUAUUUAACAGCUCAGAGGACUUGAAUUUCCCAUGAGUCUUUGUAAGGAGAGACCAGGAUCAGCCCCUCGCUGAUCAGCUGGGAAGCAGCACGGGGUGUCACGGUGGUGUGGGCAGAGGAGGGCAGAAGGACUCAGGGUGAGAGGGGACAAGGGGCAGGGUGAUCAGGGCCAGCUACAGAUUCUCACUUCACGGAGGCUGGCCAGGAGCAGGGCCACGCAAAUGCCGGGGUGGAGCAAGGCCAGAUUUAAGCGUGCAGGCAGAGAGAACAGUUGGUAGAAACUGAAACAGAGAAUAGACUAGGAGCAGAAAGAGAAAUGUUCAUUAUUUCUCUUUCUUGGGUCCCAUAAUGAAAUGUUCUUUGCCCUGUUUGAUCACGUGUCACAUUUAUUUUAGUUGCCUGUAUGUCUGUCUUUCACAUUCAAUGAUAUUAAUAUACCAGAGUAUUCCUAGUUUCCUAGCCUUCUUGAUAGCACAUAGCUAUGACCUUAGUAAGUUUUCAAUUACUUAAUAGAUUAUUAAUGUCCCAUCAAUAUAAAUGCUUUAAAACUAAGAUAAAAGUUGCCUCUAUCGUAUUGACAGAUAGGUUGUGGAAUGUUGAAAGUUGUAAGCAGUUGACAAUGUGUAUGAUUAAAAACUAUAAACUAAUCCCUAAGAUAGAUUGUUGACAUAAGGCAGUUUUGGUGUUUAUUAUUUUUGUUAAUAUCAAAAUAAUAUCUUGCAUUUAUAUAAUGACUUAUUUUUAUCAAAACUUUUCUUAAAUUACACAGUCUGAUGUUUACAUUGACCUGUGAAGUUAUGGCAAAUAUGAUUCCAUUUUGUAUUUUAUUGUUUAGAUUUUUUCUCAUUAUAGAUGUGUAAUAUGCAUUCAUUUGGCAAUAUGUAAUAUUGGUCCAGUAAUUUCACUUAAAGGACACUAUCCAAAGGAAGCAGAUUAGAGAUCAGGUGAAAUAUUCCAUCUAGGGUUACUAAUAAUAAAAAUGGAAUUAAUAGAAAUUAUCUACAAGAGCAAAAUGGUUAAAUAAAUUAUGUUGUUUCCAUGUGGUAGCAUGUUAUGUAGUACUAUAUAGAGUUUAGAAAUGGAGACACAAAGGUAGAGAACAAACAUAUGAACACCAAGGGUUGUGAAGAGGAGGGUGGGAUGAAUUGGGAGAUUGAGAUUGAGUUAUACACAUUACUGAUACUUGUGUAAGACACAUAACUAAUGAGAACCGACUGUAUAGCACGGGGAACUCUACUCAGUGCUCUGUGGUGACCUAAAUGGGAAGGAAAUCUAGAAAAGAGGGGCUAUAUGUGUACAUAUAACCGAUUCACUUUGCUGUACAGCAGAAACUAACAGCAUUGUAAAGCAAUUAUACUCCAAUAAAAAUUAAUUUAAAAAAUAAAAUAUUAAAAUUUUAGGUCUUAAAACACAAUGAACCAAAAUGUUAAGAGUGACCAUCCUUUGUAAUAGAUUCCUGUGUGAGGUUUUUUUGAUACCAUCUGUUUUCCAGAUUUUCUGCAAUGAAAUGAAUUACUUUGGGAAAUCCUGGAAGCAGUAAACAUAUUUUGACAAAUGACAAGAGUAACCAUUUGGGGAAGACACUGUUGCUCAUCUCUUCAGUAUCAACUUGCCCACCUUCUUCCCAGUGGAACACCAAGUUUGUUUACUCCAGAGAACUGUCCUUCUUAGCCAGUCAGCAUGUGGCUUUUUUCUGACCUCUGUUUUGUUGAAACUGUGAGGUGAAUGCCCUGAGGAUGGAGCCCACACUGAGGACCCAGAGUGGAGACUCAGGAAGAGCUGGGCCUUGAUGGUGAUGAUGAAUCACUGCCCGUAUUUUGUCUGAAUCCCAGCCUGUCCUGGACUCCCCAGCUCUGUGAGAUACAAAAGCUUCUUUAGUUAAAGCAAGUUAGGUUUUCUGCAACCAAAAGCAUGCUAAUUAGUAGAGUGUUCAUUCAUUAUAGGAAAUAGGUAAAACAGAGGAAAUUAGAAGUAGGGGGAGAAUACCACUUAUUGCUUCAUAACCCAGAUGUCAGCAGUGUUAACAUUUGGGGAAAUUUCCUACAUUUGUGUGAAUUCUUUAUUCAUGCAUAUGCAGCCAGUAUGUCCCUUAAUAUAUAAUGUUUUCUAUAGAA